rnacentral:lncRNA from 1 species
UUUAUUUUUACUUUUUAUUAGAUGAAAAUUGAGUGAACGGUGUCGUAAUAUGUGAAGUCAUGCUUGAGAAUGCUCCGGGCACCUGGCUAUAGAAGGAAGAAUAGAAAUUGCAACAAAAAAAUCUUGAUUCUAAUAGAAUACUAAUUAAUCCCUAAUUAGAUCAUAAUAAUGCUAAACAAGCUUUAAUCAAAUUCAAAAAAACCUCAAGAAAUUUUAAACAAAAAAUAAGAAUUCUUAAAGAAAUAUUAGAAGAAUCACAAAUAUCACUCAAAUACAUCUCAAUUCAAUCUUAAUUUAAUUCUAGUUAAAAUCCUAUUGAACUUCAUUCAAACUUUAGGCCAAAUCUAAUUAAAUCUUAAAUCCUAAUAAAAUCCUAAAUCCUAAAUAAAACCCUAAAUAAACCUUAAAUCAAAUUUUAAAUCCUAAAUCAAAUCCUAAUCAAAUCCUAAUCCAAAUCCUAAACCCUAAAUCCUAAACCAAAUCCUAACUAAAUCCUAAAUCCUAAAUCAAAUCCUAAUCCAAAUCCUAAAUUCUAAACCAAAUCCUAACUAAAUCCUAAACCCUAAACAAAUCCUAACCAAAUCCUAA